UACGUAGGGUGCGAGCGUUGUCCGGAAUUAUUGGGCGUAAAGGGCUCGUAGGCGGUCUGUCGCGUCGGGACUGAAAACUCAGGGCUUAACCCUGAGCCUGCUUCCGAUACGGGCAGACUAGGGGUAUGCAGGGGAGAACGGAAUUCCUGGUGUAGCGGUGAAAUGCGCAGAUAUCAGGAGGAACACCGGUGGCGAAGGCGGUUCUCUGGGCAUUACCUGACGCUGAGGAGCGAAAGUGUGGGGAGCGAACAGG
rnacentral:rRNA from 1 species